GUUAGUGUGGCAGAGCCCGGUGAAUUGCGAAAGGCCUAAGCCCUUUAAACAGGGGUUCAACUCCUCUCUCUAACU
rnacentral:tRNA from 1 species